GGUCGAUUUACUUUCUCUCUAAAGAAGACGAUCGACCGCUUCCCGGCGAUUGUUAACGAUCCUCUUCCCUUUUUUUAAGGCUGCGAAUUCUCUCUCUCCGGCGAAAUCAAGCUUAUGCGAGAUUCUUUUUGACUGUUGCAUAGCUAUGUCGGUUAACAAUAAUAAUAACCCUAACAAGAAUAUCGGAGGACCAUCUUCCUUUGGCAAUUCACCGCCGGGGAAUCCGAUGGCACAUCUCCAGGCACAAUCACAAGGCCAGCAACAGAUGCCUUCAGGGUUUCCUGGGGCAUUUCAGCUAUCGCAGCUAUCUGCUGCACAUGCCCAAGCAAUUGCUCAAGCUCAGUCGAAAGUUCAGGCUCAUGCGCAAGCUCAAGCACAAGCUCAAGCUGCUCAUGCCCAGUUUCAGGCCCAGUUACAGGCUCAGGGUUUGUCUCUUAGCCAGGCUCAUGCUCUUGGCAAUUUUGGUUCUUCCUCACCCUCGAUGCCUGGAAGUGCUUUGGCAAAACGCUUACCUCAGAAACCUCCUGUGCGGCCACCUGCAUUCACAACUACUAACACAAUUUCUCCAAUGAGAACAAUGGAGCUUUCAGCGGCUGCUCGUAGGAAAAAGCAGAAGCUUCCUGAGAAGCACAUGAACGAGAAGGUGGCAGCCAUUUUGCCUGAAUCUUCCCUUUAUACUCAGCUCCUUGAGUUUGAAUCUCGGGUUGAUUCCGCUUUAACAAGAAAGAAAGUUGACAUCCAGGAGUCAUUGAAGAAUCCACCUACUAUUCAGAAGACGCUUCGAAUUUAUGUAUUCAAUAGUUUUGCUAAUCAGGUUCGUACCAUUCCUAAGAAGCCAACAGCUGAACCUCCUACAUGGACUCUUAAGAUUGUAGGAAGGAUUUUGGAGGAGGGAAUGGAUCCUGAUCAAGCUGCCAUGUUUCAGAAAACUAGCUCCAUGUACCCAAAGUUCUCUACUUUCUUCAAAAGAGUCACCAUUUCCUUGGACCAGAAACUCUAUCCUGAUAACCAUAUUAUAAUUUGGGACUCUGCGCGAUCUCCUGCACCUCAGGAUGGUUUUGAGGUCAAAAGAAAAGGAGAGCAAGAGUUCACUGCUAAUUUAAGACUAGAAUUGAAUUACAUGCCUGAGAAAUACAAACUUUCACCAGCUUUAACUGAAGUUCUGGGUAUUGAGGUUGAGACUCGUGCUAGAAUUGUCUCUUCUAUCUGGCAUUAUGUUAAGGCUCGAAAGUUGCAGAACCCUGAUGAUCCUUCUUACUUCAACUGUGAUCCUCCACUUCAGAAAGUUUUUGGGGAAGGAAAGGUUAAGUUCAAUACAGUCACACAAAAGAUCACACCUCAUUUGUCUCCUCCACAACCCAUACAUUUGGAACACAGGAUUAAGCUUUCUGGAAAUAACCCUGUUGGAACUGCUUGUUACGAUGUAUUGGUUGAUGUGCCAUUCCCUAUCCAGAGGGAGCUGAAUGCUUUGCUUGCCAAUACCGAAAAGACCAAAGAGAUU
rnacentral:misc_RNA from 1 species